rnacentral:rRNA from 1 species
GACGAACGCUGGCGGCGUGCUUAACACAUGCAAGUCGAACGGUAAGGCUCCAGCUUGCUGGGGUACACGAGUGGCGAACGGGUGAGUAACACGUGGGUGACCUGCCCUGCACUUCGGGAUAAGCCUGGGAAACUGGGUCUAAUACCGGAUAGGACCGCACCGUGAGGGUGUGGUGGAAAGUUUUUUCGGUGUGGGAUGGGCCCGCGGCCUAUCAGCUUGUUGGUGGGGUAAUGGCCUACCAAGGCGGCGACGGGUAGCCGGCCUGAGAGGGUGGACGGCCACAUUGGGACUGAGACACGGCCCAGACUCCUACGGGAGGCAGCAGUGGGGAAUAUUGCACAAUGGGCGGAAGCCUGAUGCAGCGACGCCGCGUGGGGGAUGACGGCCUUCGGGUUGUAAACUCCUUUCACCAUCGACGAAGGGUUUCUGACGGUAGAUGGAGAAGAAGCACCGGCUAACUACGUGCCAGCAGCCGCGGUAAUACGUAGGGUGCGAGCGUUGUCCGGAAUUACUGGGCGUAAAGAGCUCGUAGGUGGUUUGUCGCGUCGUCUGUGAAAUUCCGGGGCUUAACUCCGGGCGUGCAGGCGAUACGGGCAUAACUUGAGUACUGUAGGGGAGACUGGAAUUCCUGGUGUAGCGGUGAAAUGCGCAGAUAUCAGGAGGAACACCGGUGGCGAAGGCGGGUCUCUGGGCAGUAACUGACGCUGGGGAGCGAAAGCAUGGGGAGCGAACAGGAUUAGAUACCCUGGUAGUCCAUGCCGUAAACGGUGGGCGCUAGGUGUGGGUUUCCUUCCACGGGAUCCGUGCCGUAGCUAACGCAUUAAGCGCCCCGCCUGGGGAGUACGGCCGCAAGGCUAAAACUCAAAGGAAUUGACGGGGGCCCGCACAAGCGGCGGAGCAUGUGGAUUAAUUCGAUGCAACGCGAAGAACCUUACCUGGGCUUGACAUAUACAGGAUCGCGCCAGAGAUGGUGUUUCCCUUGUGGCUUGUAUACAGGUGGUGCAUGGUUGUCGUCAGCUCGUGUCGUGAGAUGUUGGGUUAAGUCCCGCAACGAGCGCAACCCUUGUCUUAUGUUGCCAGCACGUUGUGGUGGGGACUCGUAAGAAACUGCCGGGGUUAACUCGGAGGAAGGUGGGGAUGACGUCAAAUCAUCAUGCCCCUUAUGUCCAGGGCUUCACACAUGCUACAAUGGUCGGUACAGUGGGUUGCCAGUCCGUGAGGGCGAGCUAAUCCCGCAAAGCCGGUCUCAGUUCGGAUCGGGGUCUGCAACUCGACCCCGUGAAGUCGGAGUCGCUAGUAAUCGCAGAUCAGCAACGCUGCGGUGAAUACGUUCCCGGGCCU